rnacentral:sRNA from 1 species
UAAACGCAUAAAAGUCAAUAAUGAUGCAAUUGCAGUGACAUGCGACAAAAGGCAAAAGCGUUUCAUUGUCAUUUGCUGCCAAGCCGGUUUCAAGCAGCAAUGUGCUGUCUCAGUGAGUCAGCCUGUCGGGGGCAAAACCAACAGAGUUCCAGGUGAUGGAGAAGGAAGGAGGCGGCAAGGGUGAAAAGCUUAAGGACUGAUAGAACGGCCGUCUUCAAAUGAGUCACAAGCUCUGUUCUGCAGGAUAAAUUGCGAGUGCAUAACAGAAACAACAAUAACAGUACGCGAAUGUGAA